rnacentral:miRNA from 1 species
UCUUGAUGAAGAGGAAUGGAA